UACGUAGGGUGCAAGCGUUGUCCGGAAUUAUUGGGCGUAAAGAGCUCGUAGGCGGUCAGUCGCGUCUGCUGUGAAAACUCGGGGCUUAACUCCGGGCCUGCAGUGGGUACGGGCUGACGAGAGUGCGGUAGGGGAGACUGGAAUUCCUGGUGUAGCGGUGAAAUGCGCAGAUAUCAGGAGGAACACCAAUGGCGAAGGCAGAUCUCUGGGCCGUAACUGACGCUGAGGAGCGAAAGCAUGGGGAGCGAACAGG
rnacentral:rRNA from 1 species